UGCAGUCGAACGGUGAGCAGAGCUUGCUCUGUGGAUCAGUGGCGAACGGGUGAGUAACACGUGAGCAAUCUGCCCCUGACUCUGGGAUAAGCGCUGGAAACGGCGUCUAAUACCGGAUACGAGCUGCGAUCGCAUGGUCAGUAGCUGGAAAGAAUUUCGGUCAGGGAUGAGCUCGCGGCCUAUCAGCUUGUUGGUGAGGUAAUGGCUCACCAAGGCGUCGACGGGUAGCCGGCCUGAGAGGGUGACCGGCCACACUGGGACUGAGACACGGCCCAGACUCCUACGGGAGGCAGCAGUGGGGAAUAUUGCACAAUGGGCGGAAGCCUGAUGCAGCAACGCCGCGUGAGGGAUGACGGCCUUCGGGUUGUAAACCUCUUUUAGCAGGGAAGAAGCGAAAGUGACGGUACCUGCAGAAAAAGCGCCGGCUAACUACGUGCCAGCAGCCGCGGUAAUACGUAGGGCGCAAGCGUUAUCCGGAAUUAUUGGGCGUAAAGAGCUCGUAGGCGGUCUGUCGCGUCUGCUGUGAAAACCCGAGGCUCAACCUCGGGCCUGCAGUGGGUACGGGCAGACUAGAGUGCGGUAGGGGAGAUUGGAAUUCCUGGUGUAGCGGUGGAAUGCGCAGAUAUCAGGAGGAACACCGAUGGCGAAGGCAGAUCUCUGGGCCGUAACUGACGCUGAGGAGCGAAAGGGUGGGGAGCAAACAGGCUUAGAUACCCUGGUAGUCCACCCCGUAAACGUUGGGAACUAGUUGUGGGGUCCAUUCCACGGAUUCCGUGACGCAGCUAACGCAUUAAGUUCCCCGCCUGGGGAGUACGGCCGCAAGGCUAAAACUCAAAGGAAUUGACGGGGACCCGCACAAGCGGCGGAGCAUGCGGAUUAAUUCGAUGCAACGCGAA
rnacentral:rRNA from 1 species